AAGUCGUAACAAGGUAUCCGUAGGUGAACCUGCGGAUGGAUCAUUAAGAAGCACCCUUUAUUAUAAAGGUCUUCAACCCAUGUGGUCUAAUAGAUUUGUGUUAGUUGGGCUGAAUCAUCGUGGUCAUCAUGCAUUUAUGUGUGUGUAUGGCUGUGAUUCGCUCGACGCCAUACUAAACCAUAAUACUUUUAUCAUUACCGACUGAUGUUGCCUUGCGACUUUUUUGUGAUUCACAUUCGUUGAUGAUCAAAUGGGUAACAAGUAAAACAAUUGUAAUCUUAAUACAACUGCUAGCAACGGAUCACUCGGCUCUCACGUCGAUGAAAACGCAGC
rnacentral:misc_RNA from 1 species